rnacentral:rRNA from 1 species
AAAGGAAUUCGACGGACCCGACACAAGCAGCGGAGCGUGUGGUUAAUUCGAGGCUACACGAAGAACCUUACAGGGUUUGACAUGCAAGUGGUAGGAAUCCGAAAGGUGACCGACCCUUCGGGGAGCUUGCACAGGCGCUGCAUUGGCUGUCGUCAGCUCGUGUCGUGAGAUGUUCGGUUAAGUCCGCUAACGAGCGCAACCCUCGUCGUGUGUUAUACGUGUCACACGAUACUGCCGGUAUCAAGCCGGAGGAAGGUGGGGAUGAUGUCAAGUCAGCAUGGCCUUUAUAUCCUGGGCUACACACACGCUACAAUGGCAGAUACAAUAGGUUGCGAAACCGCGAGGUGGAGCCAAUCCUCAAAGUCUGUCUCAGUUCAGAUUGUAGGCUGCAACUCGCCUGCAUGAAGUUGGAGUUGCUAGUAAACGCAGGUCAGCUAUACUGCGUUGAAUACGUUCCCGGGGUUU